rnacentral:rRNA from 1 species
AUUGAACGCUGGCGGCAUGCCUUACACAUGCAAGUCGAACGGUAACAGGUCUUCGGAUGCUGACGAGUGGCGAACGGGUGAGUAAUACAUCGGAACGUGCCUAGUAGUGGGGGAUAACUACCCGAAAGAGUGGCUAAUACCGCAUGAGAUCUACGGAUGAAAGCAGGGGAUCGCAAGACCUUGUGCUACUAGAGCGGCCGAUGGCAGAUUAGGUAGUUGGUGGGAUAAAAGCUUACCAAGCCGACGAUCUGUAGCUGGUCUGAGAGGACGAUCGGCCACACUGGGACUGAGACACGGCCCAGACUCCUACGGGAGGCAGCAGUGGGGAAUUUUGGACAAUGGGCGCAAGCCUGAUCCAGCAAUGCCGCGUGCAGGAUGAAGGCCUUCGGGUUGUAAACUGCUUUUGUACGGAACGAAAAGCCCUGGGUUAAUACCCUGGGGUCAUGACGGUACCGUAAGAAUAAGCACCGGCUAACUACGUGCCAGCCGCCGCAGUAAGAC